rfam:Picoides pubescens contig35237, whole genome shotgun sequence.
CCAAAGGCUCUUUUAAGAGCCACAUAUAUUUUCCGUAGAGGAGCUG